rnacentral:lncRNA from 1 species
UCUAUGUCUCCGUUCCCGAACUCUCCCACUCAUUUUCUUUUAGACUUUUGAUAAGCUUUUGUAUGUGAGUAUGAUGUUCUUCAUCAUCACUUUGUAUGUGUUAAUCACUAGCUUGAUUCCAUGAUGAAUAUGUAUGUGUUUGGAUCAUUUUUGUAAAGUUUGAGAAAGUUACUUAAAACCCAAGAAAUUGCCAUGAUUUUGAUUGUUAGAGGUAUUUGGAUGUUUGGAAGGGAUGAUUAAUGUUCCUUGAUACCAUAUAUGUUUGGAAUGGCUGUUUAUAUGAAUUUAUAACAUGUUU